rnacentral:rRNA from 1 species
UGAGGAAUAUUGGGCAAUGCCCGAAAGGGUGACCCAGCAACGCCGCGUGGAGGAUGAAGGUCGUAAGAUUGUAAACUCCUGUUAGAGGGGAAGAAUAACUAAGUUUGGAGCUUAGUAUGACUGUACCCUCAGAGGAAGCCCCGGCUAACUACGUGCCAGCAGCCGCGGUAAUACGUAGGGGGCAAGCGUUGUCCGGAUUUACUGGGUGUAAAGGGCGCGCAGGCGGAAUGGAAAGUCAGUGGUGAAAUCCUACAGCUUAACUGUAGAACUGCCUUUGAUACUUUCAUUCUUGAGUUCGGGAGAGAGAGACGGAAUUCCAGGUGUAGUGGUGAAAUACGUAGAUAUCUGGAAGAACACCAGUUGCGAAGGCGGUCUCUUGGUCCGAUACUGACGCUGAGG